UCAGGUAGGAGUACCCGCUGAGCUUAAGCAUAUCAAUAGGUGGAGGAAAAGAAAACAGCCGGGAU
rnacentral:rRNA from 1 species